rfam:Alligator mississippiensis ScZkoYb_113, whole genome shotgun sequence.
AAAAUGGAGUUUUUGGACUCCACCAAUAAAUGCAGGAAUGACAUCU